rfam:Lepisosteus oculatus linkage group LG12, whole genome shotgun sequence.
GCCAGCAGCCAUAUCACCCUGCAGCUCACAACUGGCAGCCCAGUGAAGCUAAGCAGGUGUGCGCCUGGCCAGUUCCUGGAUGGGAGACCUCCUGUGAAAAACUAAGGUUGCUGCUGGAA